ACAGCAGGCGCCUCCUGCGGGACUCCGGGACGGUGCUGGGCGGGUCGGCGGCGGAGCCCGGGGGCAGCAGAGCCCGCUGCCCGCCGUCUGCCGGGAGCGCGGCCGCCCGCCCCGGGUCCCCGCAGCAGCCUCGGUGCCCCGAGUGCGUCGGCACCGCCCGCCCGGCCUUGGCGCGGCCGCGGUGACUCGGGCCCGGCUCUAGCUGCCCGUCCCCCUCGACUGUCGGCUCCGUGUGUCUGCUGAUUUGGCUGCAUCUGUCCUGCAUAUUUAUGGUCGCCUGUCACUGUCACAUUCCCUGGCCGUUGACAGUUUCCAAAGCACUUGGGCCAGAAGAAACUCGGGAUUUGGGGAGUUCAUAACAGGUGGAGGCGCUGAAGGGAGGCGACCCGCCCGGGACUCAGCCCGACGAGGCGGGAGCUCUAGGAGUUGCUGGAGACUCUGUCGGGAACAGUGUUGGGAGGUGGCCCGUGGCUGCCAGGGUGUCCUUGCUGUCAACUGCUGGACUCGGAGCGGGACCUGUGCCCCGCCCCGAGCACAGUGUGGAGGCCGCUCGCUUAAGGGUCCUGCAAGUGAAGGUGCUGGGGCUGGGGGACUUUAGUCACCCGCUUCUCACGUGAUUGCUGCGCCCUCCAGCUAGGCGGACAGUGACUCCUCUUUCUCCAGAGCCAACUUUGGAUCUUUCUCACCUGUGCUUUUGUAACCUUUUGAUUAGCAAAAGCAAGACGAAUUGUUCCCGGAACACUUAAGCUGCCUGGAAACUUACUUACAAGAAAAAUCGAGCGUUAAUUCAUCAGGGACAUCCUGAGGGUUUUGCUGUCGGGCCAGUUAACUGAUUGCAAAUUCUCCCCAAGUUUAAAACUAGGUGAGCUGCUUUGGGGAGCAGCCUGAGAUCAGGGCUCGGUGGUCUGACAGCUGAGCAGGAGGCCCGGGUAAGGGAUCAUGGUGGACUUACAAAGCCUGGCAGGUAGGAGCUGACUUUCACCUUGGCGGGGACAGGAGGAACCAAUCACUGCAGCCUUUGGAACCUCCUCAUCCUCAGUGAAACAGGACAGCUCACAGGAUUGCGUUCCUAAAGUUUAUUCCUAAGACCAUUCCCCAUAAAGUUCUGUUUGGGUCAGGUUGUUUGGGGUUAAAACUGAGCCUUACUGAACCAAUUAAAAACAUGCCGGAGUCAAAUUACAUAAAUCAUUUUGAAAAUUAAGAUACUGACAACCCUAUGGUCUCUAAAGGUUCUUUCCUGCUCAAUUUAUAUUACUCUUCUAUCUUUAGUGUAAAAUCAUCUUCAUCCUAUUAUGUACUGAUUAUCAAGAAGAAAGUGUUCUUUUAUUGCUUGUUGAUGUCAGUUUCUCUUUUAUUGGCUUGUUGCUCCUUCCUUUAAGUCAUGGGCUGGAAGGGACAGAAUCUCAUUUCCUCCACUAAAGCAGCCACUUGUACUAACGGGUUUUUCUCAUUCUGUAUGUCAGGCCUAGGGAAAGACAUUGUGUUUUAAAGGCUAUGGCUUUUUUUUUUUUUUUUUCAAAUAAUCAGCAAGGCAAGGAGAGAAGUAACCAUGCUCAGCCUAGGGACUGUAAGUGUUCUGAUAAGUAAGAGGAACAAGGUAGAAACAUGGGAAAGUUGAAGGGUUUGUAGCUGCUCUUCAAUUAGAUCGUUUCACCAGAACUGCAUUAUUUCACCUGAUGUGUUGUGAAACUGCACAAUCUCAAACCCACCCUGAAGUCAUCAACUACUAAGAUAUGUUUUUGUUUUGGGUUUUUUUUGGUACCUGGGAUCGAACUCGGGACCUUGUGCUUGCAAGGCAGGUGCCGGAACCACUGAGCUAAAUCCCUGCCCCUAAGAUGUAUUUUUAAAACAAACACGAAUAUAAUUUUUUCUGUUGACGCUGUCCACCUGUGUAAAUAAUGAUAGUUACAUAUUUAGUUUGUUUACAGAAAAUUGAUUUUCUUAAGUUACUACAACCUAUUGUACUUACUCAAGGUUCAGGAAAAGAUACUUUCAAAUAUGUGUUCUGAAUCUUCAAAAUAUUAAGUUAUGGCUGAGGCAAGAAGAUUACAAGUUUGAGGACAGCCUAGGCAACGUAGACCCUGUCUCAAAAAAAAGACAGAAAAAUCAGCAAAUCUCAGCGGAAGGUAAAUAACAGCUAAAAUAUUAUAUCUUUAUAUCAAUUAUUAAAAGAUGUAGGCUUAGAUUUGUAGCACCGUCAUUAAAAAUAAUAGGAGUGUUUUAAAAAUAUAGUAACCCUAUUUAUGAAAAUUCAAAUAGUAUUCUAUAAUAAUUUUAUCUUAAUUAUAAGAUAAGAACUAGAUUUUGAUGAUAACAAGCUCUGGAAAUUCAACUUUAAGGUAAUUCUGCAAGCAACAAGCAUAUCAUUGUACUACUGAUUAGAAAAAGAAAUACUCCAUUGGUGGAAAAUAAUUUUAAUAGAUGAAAGUGAUGAAUAUUGGAUGUGAGUUUAGAAUUGGGAAGUUGAGAAGUCUUGUGGUUAUUAUAGCCACUAUGUGGCUACUGUGUCUUGAAGAUUGCAAAACAAAAUAACAUUUUUAAAAAGAAUGGAAAGUUGAUGAAUAGUAUGCAUAGUUUUUAAGAAUAAAUUGAACAACUUCAUAUUUUGUUACUCAAAAAUCUAACAAUUAUGGUUGUGUGGACCAAAGUACCUUCAUCUAUUGCUUAUGAACCAGAGAUUCAGAGCAUCAGAUAACUACCCUUACAGAGCAUAUAAACGUCUACUGCUUAACGCCUAACCCAAAUCAUUAUGGUCCACCAUUUCAUAAAAUGAUGUUUUAAAAUUAGUGUUGUUUUUCAGUUUGCACAUAUUCUUUCCUUUCAGGAAUAGCACAGCAUGAUGCAAAGAACCCUGGUCUUGUAGUUUCAGUCCUUGGGGAAGAUACUGUCUUGGCCGCAUACUUAACUGUGUGACUCUGGAAAGAUAUUCACUCUGGCCAUCAGACCCUUCAUUGGUAAAUAAUGCAAUGUCUCUUCCAUAACCAGAGUUAGAAAAAAUACUGUUUCCUUUCUUCUUUCCCUUUUAUGGUAACUUUGAAUGCUUCCUUUUGUUUAGACUGAAGUUUUCAUUUUUCAAUUAUAAAGCAACUUAUUUCUUAACUGCAUUUCUGGUGUAUUCACCCCCCAAAUGUUUGAAAUUAGUUUCCUACAUUUUUCCUGAGUACUGUAAUUAAAACAUCAAAUGCUUUAAUGAAAGAGCUGUGAGUCAUGAAAACACCUAGAUUCUCUUUGACUCUCCAACUAAAAAGUCUUUGAACACAUGAGCUCAAGUGAUCUCUUUCUCUUUCAUUUUCCCAAAAUGAGCAUUGGAUUAGACUCUAGUGGCCACUUCUAGCUCCAGAAGUUUAUGCUCAUCUAUUCAAACUCCUUUUUAGAUUCUCAAACUCCUGGAUUAAGAACAGCUGUAUAGGCCUGUUCUAUCAAGAUUUGAAGGAAAGCAUGAAAUCCUUAAUUAGAGAGCUCUUUUGUAAUUAGUUCUAAAAUUUGAGUGCAGAGAAUUGAAAUGCUGUCACUGUAUUGACAACCCAUCAGAAGCAUGUAAGUCUCUAUGCAGCUUCUUUAUGGUCUGUGCAUUGGCUCUUUAUCCUUUGGCCUGAAGGAUUUUCACUCACCUGGUCUCCAAAGCUCCAGCUUUCACCUCAGGCCUCAGGGUUUCUGCAUUGUGAGUAAGUUUCCCUGUUUGUACCAAUGCAUGCCUUUGUCUAAGAACAUUGCCUGAAGGUGACAGUAAACAGCACUGGAAAUAGUAUUUGAGAUGCUUACUGUAAUACAGUCCAUUUUGGUCAUAUAGUUGCAGACACUGAAUAGAGUACAGUUUUGUUUAUAUCUGUAUUUCUUAAUUGAAAAUGUAUUUUGGCAGUCCAUGAUGUCUGUUUUCUGAACCAUAAAAGCCACAUGUCUAAUUCAUAAACUAUAGUCCUGAAUUUAAUUUACUCACCAUUUUAUCUUCAAGGAGAAAAAUACGAUUUGAGGUUUUAAAUAAAUGUGAAAUGCUUUGCCACAGAGAUUCUAAAGAAAUAAAAUACACUGCUGGGCCCAGCACAAGCCUUCACACUGAAUUUGUAUUUCUGAAGGACACCGGCUCAGCUUAUUUCACAGAUUGAAUAAAGUGCCUUUGGUUCUAAUGUACCUGUUACAAUUUAACUAAAAUAGUCAUGAGCAAAGUCUUAUUUCUAAAAGCAUUUCUCUGGCAUGAGACUAUGUGACUGAAACCAUUAUAAGUAGAAUUUACAGAAAAUUAUACUUUGUUCAAAGGAAUGUUUUAUAAAGAUAUUUUGAGUGCCUAAAGGUGAGUUCUGUUUAUAUAAGAAGAAUGUGUGGUCAUAAAUCCAUGCUGUGCUGGCUAAUAGGACAUUUUUUUUCAUAAUCAGAUACAUGUUUAUUUUAUAUUGGAUUUUAAACUUCUGGAAAAUUCCAAAAUCCAAAUGAAAAG
rnacentral:lncRNA from 1 species